GAAAGGAAAUGAGACUCGAAGAAGGCUUAAUCAGGCCAAUUUACUGCAGAUAGUAUUUUGUAUAAGGUUGCUGCACCUGGGGAACGAGCCCUGAUAAGAAUAGUGAGUGGUGUGUGGAGCUAAGAAAAAAGUCUGUUUGGUUCCACCAGUCAGCAUUCCCUUCCAGAAGAUGACCUAUUGAACAUUUCCAAGAAUCGCUGUGCCAAGCCUGUCAACUGCUUUCUUGGAAAUACACUCAAGAAAAAUGGCUUCCUUCCAGUAGGGAUCUGCAGAAAGCCUGAACUGGAUCAAGGGCUAUAUUUAGAUGCUGAGAUAACAUCAACAGCUCAGUUGCUGUUUCAGGGCUUCAGGAACUCAGGCCAUGAGUGUUGUAGAGGGGGUACAUCAGAAGCAGGAAGCCGGCUGAGCAACCAGUGGGGCCACUGGACGAUCGAAUGGUACCCUCAGAGAGAAGAGAUCUGGAUAGACUGUGACAAGCUCAUACUAACACAAUACCUCACCCAGACAGUAAGGUCCACUUUCAGCAAUAAGGAAGGGGGCCAGAAUGGGGGGAAGUGACUCUGCCAACCUGCAGGAAUCUGCACAGACCCAUCCUUGACUUCUGGAUGGAGCCCCAGAGCAUCCUGCUGUAGACUGUGUGAACUCC